GGAGUCCAUGUGUCAUAGGAGUUCGUCUGGAAUCUGUCCGCUACAGAAGUUCGAUCAGAAUCCGAUCUCCGUAGAAGCUCGGAUGGGGAUUAUUUGUCGAGGAAGCUCGGUCGAAGCCUGCUUGCAAUAGAAAUCCGAAAGGAAUUUAUCCAUAAUAGAAGCUCAGGUGGGGGCUUACAGUAGGAAUCCGACGUGGGCCGUUCGUAGUAGAAAUUUAAAGUAGACCGCUUGUAGUAGAAGCUUGGAGUAGAUCACUUGCAAUAGAAGCUCGGAGUCCGGCCCUUGUAAGAGUUCGGGUGAGG
rnacentral:lncRNA from 1 species